GAAUGGCGUGAGCCGUGUGCCGUGAGCCGUGUGCCCUGUGCCCUGCCCUCACGGCUCUGUGAGGGGGCACCCGGCUGAGGGAAUGGCGUGAGCCGUGUGCCGUGUGCCGUGUGCCGUGUGCCCUGUGCCCUGCCCUCACGGCUCUGUGAGGGGGCACCCGACUGAGGGAAUGGUGUGAGCAUUCCUCACGGCUCCGUGAGGGGGUGUCUGACUGAGGGAAUGGCCUGUGCCAUUAUCCCUUCUCUCAUGGCUCCAUGAAGGACCAGCUGCCUCAGGGAAUGGCCUGUGCCAUCGUCCCUUCCCUCCCGGCUCCAUGAGGGGUUAUCUGACUGAGGGAAUGGCCUGUGCCAUCGUCCCUUCCCUCCCAGCUCCAUGAGGGGGUAUCUGACUGAAGGAAUGGCCUGUGCCAUCGUCCCUUCCCUCCCGGCUCCGUGAGGGGGUAUCUGAAGGAAUGGCCUGUGCCAUCGUCCCUUCCCUCACGGCUCCAUGAGGGGUUAUCUGACUGAAGGAAUGGCCUGUGCCAUCGUCCCUUUCCCUCCCAGCUCCAUGAGGGGGUAUCUGACUGAAGGAAUGGCCUGUGCCAUCGUCCCUUCCCUCCCGGCUCCAUGAGGGGGUGCCUGCCUGAGGGAACACCAUCUCCCCUUCCCUCCCGUUUCAGCGAAGGACUCCCUGCCCGAGGGAAUGUUGCGCUCUUAAGCAAGAUGAAAAACGCUGUUGCCCUCGGCACAUCAGCUCCAGGACGCUGGGCUGCCACUCCCGUCCACUGCUGAUUCCCAGUAUUGCCUGCUUCAUUCCCAACGUUUUCUCCAGCGCCCUGGGUUUUCCUGGCAAGCGCCUCAUCCAAGUCAUGACCAAUCCUUGGACCCUGCUUCGUUCCCUCGUUUCACAAACUGCUGCCCACGGUGACAGAACAGCAGGAAGCAGAAAAUUAAAUGGGGUACCUGCGAAAAUGAAGAUGGAACUUCACCUCUCCUCCGUAUGUAAAAGUUGUUGGGGGUCAGUUCUGUCCUCCUCAGUGGCAGGGACAAGAGGAAUGUGGUCCCUCGCCCUGCCCAGCCCCUGCCCUGGGCUGGUUCAGUUCUGGAUAAAGGGCUGGACAAUCCCUGAGCCCUGACAUCGGGGUGGGAUGAGCUGAUGGGAGCAGGUGAGAGCACUGAGUUCUCAGGGGCAUUUGCUCUGGGUGGGACUCUCACCUGAGCCACGCAGGUGGGUUUUCCCCCUCAGAAGCAGCACUGGGUGCUGAUGCCCACCCGGGGUUGGAGGUGCCACCCUUUGCACAUCCCAGUUUGAUUUCCCUGCGACACUGAUUAAACCCGGGGCUGGGGAAGAGUCGUGUGCAAGAAUUUUAACCAGCUCCUGCUUCUUAAUAUUCAACUUCCUCUUUGGUUUUAAUUAUUUUGUCCCUGCGUUUUCCCUUUCAAUUUACUAAAACUCCAGAAAUGUAAUUAGGGAGAGGCUGAACCCGGAGAAAGCUGCCAGCGUUUCUACAUCAUGAUUAAAUGUAUCAGCCGUGCCUUCAGUGAGAGGCUGAGAAACAGGAGGCUCAUAAUUGCCUCCCUGUUAUCCAGGAAAGAAUCUGCGACACGUAGGGAUACAGAGUUAUUGAAAAUGCAGCACUAAUUAAAAUCUCAUAUAGGCUCCCCAGGAUUGAGAGGAUGAAAACAAGUUAUUUCAUUAUUUCCCGGAUUUGCCAUCUUUGUUACAAAACCAAACAAACCCUUUCUAAACAAAGCCCAUCUCAAUCACUGGGGAGACUUAAUGAGGCUCUUAGAGAUGCAACAGUAACAAACACAUCGCAAGGUGCUGAUUCCCCUCUCCCGGUACCAGGGAGACCCCCAGAACUCAUUUUCUGGCUGUAAAGAGAAGGGAAUGUUGUGGCAGAGCCACAAACUGGAACAGAACCAUGGCUGGGUUUGAGGGGCCGGUUUGUUUUAAAUUGGAGCCAUUAAGGAUCCUUGAUAUUCCAGGCUUUUGUGGUUUAAUUGUUAAAUCACAGCCAGCACGCCAAGUGCUGACAGGGUUGGUGAGGAGAGGGAGAGCUGCUGAGAUCCUGGGUGCUCCCAACCGUGGCAGUCGGAGCAUCCUCCAGGGAAAGGAGCCUGGUCUGAGCUUUGCUUUUCCAACCCUUUUGCUCCAAAUUUAAUUUGCAACAGAAUGGCAAGUUCUGAGCCAGACACUGAGUGGGGCAGCCCCACGGCCCCUUCCCUGGCAAUGGAACCUCCAGUGCUGGGGGGGCAGGAGGGUGACAAAUAUUGCCCACCCGUGAGAACUUGUACAAUGUAGAGGGCUCAGGCAGCUCAUUCACACACACAAAACCAAAGCUGGGCAGCUGGCUGCUCCCAGUCUCAAGGCAGAAAUCCUGAAGGGUCUAGGAAGGAUACAGGAAAGAGGUGGGGUUCACUGAGCUGGGUUUUACCUCAGGUGGGUUUCACUUCCCCGGUGAGGGGCUGGGAUGGAUUUCCCAGGGAAGCUGGGGCUGCCCCGGCCCUGGAAGUGUCCAAGGCCAGGAUGGAGCAACCUGGGAUAGCAAAAGGUGUCCCUGCCCGUGGCAGGGGUGGCACUGGACAGGCUUUAAGGUCCCUUUCCACCUGGUCUAAAAUUACAGGUACCUCCAUUUUUAGGUCCUUUCUGACCCAAACAUUCCCUGGAGUGUUCCAGUUCCAGGCUGUGCCUGUGCUCAGAGCUGUCCCAGCCUGGGCACUCCAUCCAUCAGCUCCUUCCUGCCUGGCAUCUGGAUCCAGUGGCACCUGUGUCCCUCCAGAUAUAAAGGAUGAACUUGCUCUGGCACAGCCACCACAUCCAGCUCUAAAUUCAGUACAAAUCAGCACUUCCAUGAGAAAAUUCCUGCUGGUGGUCACAGAAUCCCAGAAUUACUGGGGUUGGAAAAGCCCUCCAAGAUGAUCCAGCCCACCCUGUGCCC